rnacentral:rRNA from 1 species
GACGAACGUUGGCGGCGUGCUUAAUACAUGCAAGUCAACUGAAGCAGUGGUAGCAAUAUCGCUGUGGAGGUGGCGCACGGGUGAGUAACACGUAGGUAAUCUGCCUUCAGGUCUGGCAUAACUCCGGGAAACCGGGGCUAAUAGCAGAUGAUGCAGCGGCCCGACAUCGAGACAGUUGUUAAAGCUAUGGCGCCUGAAGAUGAGCCUGCGUCUGAUUAGCUAGUUGGCGGGGUAACGGCCCACCAAGGCAACGAUCAGUAGCUGGUCUGAGAGGAUGAUCAGCCACACUGGAACUGAGACACGGUCCAGACUCCUACGGGAGGCAGCAGUAAGGAAUAUUGCUCAAUGGGAGAAAUCCUGAAGCAGCAACGCCGCGUGAGGGACGAAGGGCUUUUGCUUGUAAACCUCUGUAGUGAGAGAAAAAAAUCCCAAUCUUUGGGACAUGAUGGUAGCUCAAAAGUAAGCCCCGGCUAACUACGUG